rnacentral:lncRNA from 1 species
GCUUUUCCAUUUAUCACUUUCUAAGCUUUGCAUUGCUUCUUGAUAAGUGAUAGGAAUAUCAUCAACAACGGGAAGGGCGUAGGCCACCAUAUCAGUAAAUCGAGCAGGUUUACGAAUUUCUCUCCGUGGCCUUGCAACUGCAACUGGUUCUGGUAUACUUAGUGGUUCUUGGGUCAGAACCUCUUCAACCUCUAAUUCCUC